UAUGGUAGAGGAGCAUUCUUAAGUCGACGAAGCUGUACUGUAAGGAGCAGUGGAGAGUUAAGAAGAGAGAAUGCCGGAAUGAGUAGCGAGAUUUAAGUGAGAAUCUUAAAGGCCGAAUAUCUAAGGUUUCCAGGGUAAAGCUGAUCUUCCCUGGGUAAGUCGGGGCCUAAGGCGAGGGCGAGAGCCGUAGUCGAUGGAUAACAGGUUGAAAUUCCUGUACUGCUUAUGGACAGAACUGUGGGGACGCAGAAGGAGAGCACGAGCCGGAAAUGGAAAAGCCGGUACAAGCGUAUAGCAGUCAUGCAGGCAAAACCGCAUGAAAAAUGUAAAGCGUUAUGUGGAUCGAACAUUAGUAGAAAGCGUGUGAGCCAGCUGCCAAGAAAAGCCGCUAUUGCUUCAUAAGUACCCGUACCGUAAACCGACACAGGUGGAUGAGGAGAGAAUCCUAAGGCCGGCGGGAGAAGUGUUGUUAAGAACUCGGCAAAAUGACUCCGUAACUUCGGGAGAAGGAGUGCCACAGAGAUGUGGCCGCAGAGAAAUGGCCCAAGCAACUGUUUAGCAAAAACACAGGUCUAUGCAAAACCGAAAGGUGAGGUAUAUGGGCUGACGCCUGCCCGGUGCUGGAAGGUUAAGAGGAGAGGUUAGAGCAAUCGAAGCUUUGAAUUUAAGCCCCAGUAAACGGCGGCCGUAACUAUAACGGUCCUAAGGUAGCGAAAUUCCUUGUCGGGUAAGUUCCGACCCGCACGAAAGGCGUAAUGAUUUGGGCACUGUCUCAACAACACACCCGGUGAAAUUGAAAUACCAGUGAAGAUGCUGGUUACCUGCGCCAGGACGGAAAGACCCCAUGGAGCUUUACUCCAGUUUGAUACUGGGAUUCGGUACUGUCUGUACAGGAUAGGUGGGAGGCUAGGAAAUGGUGACGCCAGUUGCCAUGGAGCCAACCUUGGGAUACCACCCUUACAGUACUGGGUUUCUAACCUGCAGCCGUGACCCGGCUGGGGGACAAUGUCUGACGGGGAGUUUGACUGGGGCGGUCGCCUCCGAAAGAGUAUCGGAGGCGCUCAAAGGUUCCCUCAGAACGGUUGGAAACCGUUCGAAGAGUGCAAAGGCAGAAGGGAGCUUGACUGCGACACCGACGGGUGGAGCAGAUACGAAAGUAGGACUUAGUGAUCCGGUGGUAUAAAGUGGGAUUGCCAUCGCUCAACGGAUAAAAGCUACCCUGGGAUAACAGGCUUAUCACUCCCAAGAGUUCACAUCGACGGUGGUUUGGCACCUCGAUGUCGGCUCAUCGCAUCCUGGAGCUGUAGCAGGUUCCAAGGGUUGGGCUGUUCGCCCAUUAAAGCGGUACGCGAGCUGGGUUCAGAACGUCGUGAGACAGUUCGGUCCCUAUCCGGCGUGGGCGUAGGAUAUUUGAGAGGAGCUGUCCUUAGUACGAGAGGACCGGGAUGGACAAACCUCUGGUGUAUCUGUUGUUUUACCAAAGGCAUGGCAGAGUAGCCAAGUUUGGCAGGGAUAAACGCUGAAGGCAUCUAAGCGUGAAGCCCCCCUCAAGAUAAGAUAUCCCAUCUUCGGAGUAAGACCCCUUGAAGACUACAAGGUUGAUAGGCUUCAGGUGUAAGUGUGGCAACGCACUCAGCUGAGAAGUACUAAUAGGUCGAGGACUUAUCU
rnacentral:rRNA from 1 species